UCCCUGGGCAGUGGAGCCGGGCCUCUCGCUCUGAUCUGAAGAAGGCUUACCGGCUCCUUCACUCUGAUCUGUGAGGCUCUCCUUUGCCCAGAGAUGGGGAUAGACAGACAGAAAGGCAAAGACAAACUGUCCCCAGAGCCUGUGCUCCAGAGACCGGGAGCCGAAACUACUGUUCCCACGCGCUGCAGCCACUGAAGCGUGUGCCUAGAGCCCGUGCCCCCCAACAAGAGAAGCCGCCGCAAUGAGAAACCCAGGCACCAGAACCGGAGCGUAGCCCCCGCUUCCCACAAAAAGAGAAAAGCACGUGCAGCAGCAAAGACCCAGCACAAGCGAAAAAUAAGGGAUCUUCCUGACCCAGGAACUGAACCCAGGUCUCCUGCAUUGUGGGUGGAUUCUUUACUGCCUGAGCUACGAUACUAUCCAGCAAUAACAAGAAAGGAACUACUGAGACAUGAAAAAGAUGGAUGAAUCUCAAAGUAAUUAUGCUAAGUCAAAGAAGCCAAGUCAUGAUUUCAUUUAUAGAAAAGUCUAAGAAAUGCAAACUAGUAUACAGGGACAGCAUGGAUAUAGAAAAUGCUAUAUGUAUAGUGGGAUAUUAUUCAGCCAUAAGAGAGAAGGAAAUUCCAUGCUUUGCAACAAUGUGGAUGGACCUUGAGGGUAUCAUGCUAAGUGACAUAAGUCAUACAGAGAAAGUAAAGUAAAUAUUGUGUGUUCUCACUUAUAUGUGGAAUCUCAAAAUAGUCAGAUUCAUCAAGGCAGAGAGUAGAAUGGUGGUUGCCAGAGGCUAGGGGUGGGAGACAUGGGGAGAUAAUCAAAGGGUACACAGUUCAUUAUAAGAUGAACAUUUCCUGGUGAUGGAACUGUAUAGUGUAGUGACUACAGUGAACGAUGUUGUAUCAUAUACUUGAAAGUUCUUAAGAGUGUAGAUCUUAAAUGCUAUCACCACCAAGAAAA